UACGUAGGGGGCAAGCGUUGUCCGGAUUUAUUGGGCGUAAAGAGCGUGUAGGCGGUCAGGUAGGUCCGUUGUGAAAACUCGAGGCUCAACCUCGAGACGCCGAUGGAAACCAUCUGACUAGAGUCCGGAAGAGGAGAGUGGAAUUCCUGGUGUAGCGGUGAAAUGCGUAGAGAUCAUGAGGAAGACCAGUGGCGAAGGCGGGUCUCUGGACAGUUCCUGACACUGAGACACGAAGGCCAGGGGAGCAAACGGG
rnacentral:rRNA from 1 species